rnacentral:rRNA from 1 species
CUACGGGUGGCAGCAGUGGGGAAUACUGCACAAUGGACGAAAGUCUGAUGCAGCAACGCCGCGUGGAGGAUGACACAUUUCGGUGCGUAAACUCCUUUUAUAUAGGAAGAUAAUGACGGUACUAUAUGAAUAAGCGCCGGCUAACUCCGUGCCAGCAGCCGCGGUAAUACGGAGGGCGCAAGCGUUACUCGGAAUCACUGGGCGUAAAGAGCGUGUAGGCGGGUUAAUAAGUCAGAAGUGAAAUCCAAUAGCUCAACUAUUGAACUGCUUUUGAAACUGUUAACCUAGAAUAUGGGAGAGGUAGAGGGAAUUUCUGGUGUAGGGGUAAAAUCCGUAGAGAUCAGAAGGAAUACCGAUUGCGAAGGCGAUCUACUGGAACAUUAUUGACGCUGAGACGCGAAAGCGUGGGGAGCAAACAGGAUUAGAUACCCUAGUAGUC